ACACAGGCUGACCGAUUUCUCUUGGUGUUCAGAGUCUUAGUUUUUGUCUAGCACCAUUUGAAAUCGGUUAUGAUGUAGGGGGAAAAGC
rnacentral:pre_miRNA from 1 species